GAUGAACGCUGGCGGCGUGCCUAAUACAUGCAAGUCGAGCGAACAGACGAGGAGCUUGCUCCUCUGACGUUAGCGGCGGACGGGUGAGUAACACGUGGAUAACCUACCUAUAAGACUGGGAUAACUUCGGGAAACCGGAGCUAAUACCGGAUAAUAUAUUGAACCGCAUGGUUCAAUAGUGAAAGACGGUUUUGCUGUCACUUAUAGAUGGAUCCGCGCCGCAUUAGCUAGUUGGUAAGGUAACGGCUUACCAAGGCAACGAUGCGUAGCCGACCUGAGAGGGGGAUCGGCCACACUGGAACUGAGCCACGGGCCAGCCUCCUACGGGAGGCAGCAGUGGGGAAUCUUUCGCAAUGGGCGAAAGCUUGACGAAGCAACGCCGCGUGAGUGAUGAAGGUCUUCGGAUCGUAAAACUCUGUUAUUAGGGAAGAACAAAUGUGUAAGUAACUAUGCACGUCUUGACGGUACCUAAUCAGAAGGCCACGGCUAAUUACGU
rnacentral:rRNA from 1 species